CAGGUAGUCUUUAAAAAGACUGUGAAUUUUUUUUGAAAUAACUCUGAGCUUAGGUAGUAAAAAAUACCGCAGCUCUAGUGUCCGUUCACCUCGAAGGUUCGCAAGACACUGAGCUAUCGACUGUUAUUUCGUUAUUCGCUUGGGGUAUAAAGGAAAAGUAGCUUCGGUCGCGAUCGUUUUCAUCAAAAGAGGUGUAUACGCUUUCAAAAAAAAGUUUGCGAAUAGUUCACAAAUUUCUGCACUGUUUUUGCCAAUUUUAUUGUCUAGAGACAUAUUUGACGGAAAAUUACUACUUUUUAAUUUUGAUUUGACAAAAUUGAAAAACUUCUUGGAAUCACUCUUGAUUUCCGAUUCUACCUUUCUAUGAUACUUUUCAAAUUCAAAUUGGAUGGUGACUUCUAACUGACUGCGUAUUUGUAGAUACUCAUCAAGUUUUUGGCUAUUGCUUUUGUAAGCUUUGUGAGCUUUUUGUUUUCUAUUUUUAAGGUUUUUAACCUCUCUUGUAAACCAAGGCGGGUGUUUGUCAAUUGUGCGUCUUUUUCUUCGUAUUGGGACGCUUUCAUCGAGGAUGUCGAAUAUAAUGCUAUAGAAAGUGUUAACUGCUAGCUCGAUGUUCGUUUCUUUCUCUAGUAAUGCUUUCCAAUCAACUUCUAAUAGUCUACGUUUGAUUAAGGGAUAAUUGGCAUUAUUGUAAUCAGGAAUUUCUUCGUAAUCUGAACCAUCUGGUCUGUUAAUAGCCUUAUGCACGAAAAGUGAAAAUUCAAUUGCUGUGUGAUGAGCUUCAUUUUUCCAAAGUGGAUUAUUUGCUUCAGUCACACAGAAGUCUUCAGUCAUAUUAGUAAAAAGAAGAUCAAGAAAGCGAUUAUUUUGAUUUUUAACAUGAUUAUUAUUUUUUUUUUUAUUAUUAUUAUAGAGACUUUACACCAUUGUGCAUUCAUCUCUUCAAGGUGGAUAGUGAAAAAGGAAAGAUUACAGAGUUUAAAAUCACUUCAAUAAUUAUUACCAUGCCUUUUUUCUAACGAUUUCUGUCUAUGUUUCAAAUAUUUAGCGGAAUAUUUAAAGAGUGAAUUAUCAAGUUCUUCAAGUUUAUCUUCGUCCUCUUCUUCCAGGGAUUUAGAAGUUAUCUCACAACACUUUUUCUUAUAAUAUUUUGCUUUUAUGACAUCUUCAUCAUCUUCAUCUGUUUCUUCUGCAGCCAUCUCUCUUCGUUUUUUUGUUAGUUCGUCUUCCGCGUCCAAAUAUGCCUGUAAGCGCUUCCGACGGCGGGUGUGCUUAGAAAGCACGGUCUCGAAUCCAUCGUUGUCUUCUUCGUCAAUUUCACUUGUUUCCAUUGCCUUUUUUUUCUGGUUUACUGUUGUUGCUUUUACUGCUGCUGCUGCUUGGCUCGGGUGGAUUAAUUUGAUUUAGGCCGAGAGAGUACAUUUUAUCAAAAAUUAAUUGUAAUAUUAUCCCAUUUAAAAUUGAAGGGCGGAGCGCCAGCUCCUGUUACGUUCAAUCAAGCUCAUAUUUUGGAUUUGGGCUUAGUAUGCCCACCGGAACAAACCCUUGAAUGCCCGCCAAAAAGCCAUUUUGUUACACUCUACUAGAGAUCCUUAAUAGGAAGACUGGUCGAAGUGAAUUUGACGUACCCAAACAGACACGAGUUUGACGUAUCCAAACGAGCAUUUGCCUUUACGCCCACACUGAAAGAAACCGACAUAGCAAAAUCAAAUGCUUUUUCACGUGAGCUACUCCAAAAACCAACACGUUAAAGUCACGUACUUUUCUUUUGACUAUGAUGUGUUUUUCAUCGCGAAUAGAUAUGAGAACUCUUUCAAUUUCAACCAUUUAUAAGUCAUUAUACUUUCAUAUGCUGCCCACCAUGAAUUCACAUGAAUUUCACAUCGAUUUGCCCCAUUCGUCUUUUCCUUUGAUUUUGAAGUGGAAAUCACGUUAAAACUAAAUGUUUUGAAUUUGAAAGUCGAGUGUUGCAAAGUAGUUCCAAAUUGAUUAGGCAAGAUGGCGACAAGUAAAAAGUCGUGAUUGGAGCUCUUUGUUAAAAAAUUAGUUUAGUUUGUAUUUUUAUAAGAAAUCCUAGUUUUGAUCAUGAAAAACUUGUUCCGGGGCCAAAUUUUGAAAAAGUUCGGAUUGAGAUGCGGUUUUGUGAUGUUCGUGGCCUUUGAAUGUCCCAAACUGCGCAACAAAGAAAUUCCGCGGAAAAUACGCAGGGCCCCCGGUGGCCAGUGACAGGAGAACGGCAAAGAACGCCUAACUCCAAACGGCGGUGUAUCGUUCACGGACCGUUCGCAAUGAAGAACAACAAAUGGUUUCAACCGCCAAUCCGGUAAAUUUCCUGUCCCCGGACCAUGGAAGAGCUGUACAACUUACUGAACGAGCGCCUCGCCGGGUGGACCAUCACGGUGGCCGAGAACGGCAACGGAAGAUACAACGUUGGAGUUUUGAAUAUUAGUUGUGUGAGUCGGAUCCAGUGGUUUAUGUGUAAUAUUUUAGGAGAAACAAGUGUGAAAAAUAAAUA